rfam:Xenopus laevis strain J chromosome 7S, whole genome shotgun sequence.
AGCCGGUGAUGAGUUGCCAUGCUAAUACUGACGUAGUAGCAGUGAGUGUGAAUGCUCAAAUAGCUGACUGCGGCUG